CGGUAGCUAAGUGCGGAAGAGAUAACCGCUGAAAGCAUCUAAGCGGGAAACUUGCCUUGAGAUGAGUCUUCCCUGACCCUUAAAGGGUCCUAAAGGAACGUUUAAGACUAAGACGUUGAUAGGUUGGGUGUGUAAGCGUAGCGAUACGUUGAGCUAACCAAUACUAAUGAACCGUGAGGCUUAACCUG
rnacentral:rRNA from 1 species